AGGGAUGUAGCGCAGCUUGGUAGCGCCGGUACAAAAUGUCACGGGUCCCAAUCCUGUCAUUCCUA
rnacentral:tRNA from 1 species